UUAAUUGUUGCAUUUCUAAACUUCCAGAUACAAAAAUGAAUACUCUGCUAUCUACCUCGCUGAAAUGAAGACAUGAUCCUUCUGAUUCUUAGGUCUACUCAUGUCUUAGCUUUAGCUUUGUUCACAUGUUACAGAAAUUUGGUUUCCUUUUAGAAAGUACGAAGCUAUGCUUGAAAUUGAAAAUUUUGGUGAUGAUAAACAUUUUAUGUGUAUGUGUUGUUUCUUCUUAUCAGAUGAGCUCAUUAAUUAUGGAUCCAAUCUUGGAAUGUUUCGCUAAAUUGAGUAUUCGACAUUAGCUGAAGGACUCAUAUUCUUCUUAUGAUCGGAAAGAUAAAUUCAAGGAGAAGAAGCUUCAGAAUCUUGCCUUGCUGGAAAGAGAAGAAAAUAAACUGAAAGAUUAAGCUCUGCACUUCCAUCAGAACCAAGGAAAUUAGUUGGUCAUACAGUUAAUGUUUGAGAAUUCUUUACCCAAAAAGAAGAUGAACCUACACAAAGAAAUUGUUGUUUCUGUGAAUUUUCAGAAGCUGAUGAAAGUAGCACUUAAAACAUGUACUGUUAAGUUUUUCUCCACGUGAAAGAACUUAGUGUACUUUGGUUCCUUUUUCUAUUUGAUUCAGUUUAAGUUGAACUUAGUGUACUUUGGUUCCUUUUUCUAUUUGAUUCAGCUUAAGUUACAAUAUUGUGUUUGUUCAAAGCUUUUAGAUGCAAGUUGUUUUCUCCUCUCUAUUAUGGUUGUAAACUUGUGAUGUGAUCAUCUUUGAUCACAAUUUGAAACUUUUUGAGUGUGUUGUAAUAUAUUUGAAAUUAACUAUCGGUUUGGAACUUUGAACAA